rnacentral:rRNA from 1 species
CCUACGGGAGGCAGCAGUGGGGAAUAUUGCACAAUGGGGGAAACCCUUAUGCAGCGACGCCGCGUGAGUGAAGAAGUAUUUCGGUACGUAACGCUCUAUCAGCAGGGAAGAAAAUGACGGUACCUGACUAAGAAGCCCCGGCUAACUACGUGCCAGCAGCCGCGGUAAUACGUAGGGGGCAAGCGUUAUCCGGAUUUACUGGGUGUAAAGGGAGCGUAGACGGCAGCGCAAGUCUGGAGUGAAAUCCCAUGGCUUAACCAUGGAACUGCUUUGGAAACUGUGCAGCUAGAGUGCAGGAGAGGUAAGCGGAAUUCCUAGUGUAGCGGUGAAAUGCGUAGAUAUUAGGAGGAACACCAGUGGCGAAGGCGGCUUACUGGACUGUAACUGACGUUGAGGCUCGAAAGCGUGGGGAGCAAACAGGAUUAGAUACCCCGGUAGUC